UUAUCUGGGGGCCAUUUUAACCUGUUUAAUAAUAUGACUAUCAAGCUGUUCCCUACGCUUACACUGAUUUGGCAAUUGGCAGGUUGUACAGCAAAGCCAGAAGAAAAUUAGUGAUGAAGCUCUGAGAAACAUAUUUGAUUCUUCCCUAGUUCCGAAACCUUAUCAUGUCAAACACAGGAUUAGGGUCUUAGAUGUUCUGUGCCUGAACAUUUAUUGAGUGAUGCCUUUAUGAUGAUGCUGUAUGACCGAAGAAAAUUUUUAUAAGCUUUAUAGACUUCAGAGUGAAGUGUUCUAGUUUCUAAAUUAGUGUGCACUGUUUUCAUUUGGGGGUUUCUGUUCAUAUACUUUGCUUUGAUUCUGAGGAUGUAAAUUUAUAUUUUCUUUUGAAUGUAGUCUUAAGCGAAUUGAGAGCCCUAUUUUGCCUCGAUAAUGACCAACUUGCUUGGUGCAUUGAAAAAUUUAGGCAAUCACAGGCAUAAUGCACUUUGCCGCAUUCAUUGCACCGUGCUCCUACCAAAAACUGUCACUCCUAUAGUUUUUAUAAGAGGUCAUUCUGGUGCA